rnacentral:rRNA from 1 species
CCUACGGGAGGCAGCAGUGAGGAAUAUUGGUCAAUGGACGAGAGUCUGAACCAGCCAAGUAGCGUGAAGGAUGACUGCCCUAUGGGUUGUAAACUUCUUUUAUAUGGGAAUAAAACGUUCCACGUGUGGGAUUUUGUAUGUACCAUAUUAAUAAGGAUCGGCUAACUCCGUGCCAGCAGCCGCGGUAAUACGGAGGAUCCGAGCGUUAUCCGGAUUUAUUGGGUGUAAAGGGAGCGUAGGUGGAUUGUUAAGUCAGUUGUGAAAGUUUGCGGCUCAACCGUAAAAUUGCAGUUGAAACUGGCAGUCUUGAGUACAGUAGAGGUGGGCGGAAUUCGUGGUGUAGCGGUGAAAUGCUUAGAUAUCACGAAGAACUCCGAUUGCGAAGGCAGUUCACUGGACUGCAACUGACACUGAGGCUCGAAAGUGUGGGUAUCAAACAGGAUUAGAUACCCGGGUAGUC